rnacentral:rRNA from 1 species
AGUGAACGCUGGCGGUAGGCCUAACACAUGCAAGUCGAACGGCAGCACAGUAAGAGCUUGCCCUUACGGGUGGCGAGUGGCGGACGGGUGAGGCAUACAUCGGAAUCUACUUUUUCGUGGGGGAUAACGUAGGGAAACUUACGCUAAUACCGCAUACGACCUACGGGUGAAAGCAGGGGAUCUUCGGACCUUUCGCGAUUGAAUGAGCCGAUGUCGGAUUAGCUAGUUGGCGGGGUAAAGGCCCACCAAGGCGACGAUCCGUAGCUGGUCUGAGAGGAUGAUCAGCCACACUGGAACUGAGACACGGUCCAGACUCCUACGGGAGGCAGCAGUGGGGAAUAUUGGACAAUGGGCGAAAGCCUGAUCCAGCCAUACCGCGUGGGUGAAGAAGGCCUUCGGGUUGUAAAGCCCUUUUGUUGGGAAAGAAAAGCAGCAGGUUAAUACCCCGCUGUUCUGACGGUACCCAAAGAAUAAGCACCGGCUAACUUCGUG